rnacentral:rRNA from 1 species
GAGUGGCGAACGGGUGAGUAACACGUGGGUAACCUGCCCAUCAGAAGGGGAUAACACUUGGAAACAGGUGCUAAUACCGUAUAACACUAUUUUCCGCAUGGAAGAAAGUUGAAAGGCGCUUUUGCGCCACUGAUGGAUGGACCCGCGGUGCAUUAGCUAGUUGGUGAGGUAACGGCUCACCAAGGCCACGAUGCAUAGCCGACCUGAGAGGGUGAUCGGCCACACUGGGACUGAGACACGGCCCAGACUCCUACGGGAGGCAGCAGUAGGGAAUCUUCGGCAAUGGACGAAAGUCUGACCGAGCAACGCCGCGUGAGUGAAGAAGGUUUUCGGAUCGUAAAACUCUGUUGUUAGAGAAGAACAAGGAUGAGAGUAAAACGUUCAUCCCUUGACGGUAUCUAACCAGAAAGCCACGGCUAACUACGUGCCAGCAGCCGCGGUAAUACGUAGGUGGCAAGCGUUGUCCGGAUUUAUUGGGCGUAAAGCGAGCGCAGGCGGUUUCUUAAGUCUGAUGUGAGAGCCCCCGGCUCAACCGGGGAGGGUCAUUGGAAACUGGGAGACUUGAGUGCAGAAGAGGAGAGUGGAAUUCCAUGUGUAGCGGUGAAAUGCGUAGAUAUAUGGAGGAACACCAGUGGCGAAGGCGGCUCUCUGGUCUGUAACUGACGCUGAGGCUCGAAAGCGUGGGGAGCGAACAGGAUUAGAUACCCUGGUAGUCCACGCCGUAAACGAUGAGUGCUAAGUGUUGGAGGGUUUCCGCCCUUCAGU